CGAGAUUCGUGACCCUGUACCAAGGUAUUGGUUGCAGGGAGCGUUUUGGCUUUAACUUGUUGAUUCGUACUGCCUGUUAGGUUAGCUCUCGUCAAUGGUGAUUGAGUCUGGGACUAGGUUAACUUGAGCACGUCAAUCACCUGUAAACUGAGGAAACGAAACUACUCAAUUACCCCAUCCUCGGGAAUUCUUUAUCUGAUUGAAUUCUUUGUUUACUCUACUGUUGUUUACUGCAUCUUGUCAUUUGUUGCUUAGUUUCGGCAAUUCUUUACUGUUACCUGGACCAGAUACUCGACCACCCAGUUGUCUGGCAACAGACUGUGCAGUCGAGUAUCCCUGUUGUACUUUCUGACUGUUACUCGACCAGAUACUCGACCACCCAGUUGUCUGGCAACAGACUGUGCAGUCGAGUAUCCCUGUUAUACUUUCUGUCUGUCACUCGACCUCACCCAGUGCUCUGCAAAGAGCUGUGUUGGUCGAGUGUUUUAUUGUUUCUGCUUGAAUUUCUGUUUUAUGCAUGUUCACUUAGAACUGUUAGAACACACCAAAACCUGUUAUUGCUUGGCUUGACUUAGUGACUUCUGAUCACAUCUUGAUUGUUAGCAUCACACCUAUUUUUAUUGACAACCUAAAUUACUACAACGAUAUGAUUGGUGUUUUAGGAUAAUUGACGAAAA
rnacentral:sRNA from 1 species